GAUGAACGCUAGCGGCAGGCCUAACACAUGCAAGUCGAGGGGUAACAUAGAAAAGCUUGCUUUUCUGAUGACGACCGGCGCACGGGUGCGUAACGCGUAUACAACCUACCUUUUAGCGGGGAAUAGCCCAGGGAAACUUGGAUUAAUGCCUCAUAGUAUAUAAGCUUCUCCUGAAGUUUAUAUUUAAACAUUUAUGGCUAUUAGAUGGGUAUGCGUCCUAUUAGUUAGUUGGUAAGGUAACGGCUUACCAAGGCAGCGAUAGGUAGGGGUCCUGAGAGGGAGAUCCCCACACUGGUACUGAGACACGGACCAGACUCCUACGGGAGGCAGCAGUGAGGAAUAUUGGACAAUGGGCGAGAGCCUGAUCCAGCCAUGCCGCGUGCAGGAAGACUGCCCUAUGGGUUGUAAACUGCUUUUACAGAGGAAGAACCACCCCCACGUGUGGGGGGUUUGACGGUACUCUGCGAAUAAGGAUCGGCUAACUCCGUG
rnacentral:rRNA from 1 species